UGUGUGUUAGUGGAAGCGUCUGGAAAGUCGCAGGGUACAGGGUGAUACUCCCGUACACAAAAGCACACAUGCUGUGAGCUCGAUGAGUAAGGCGGGACACGUGGUAUCCUGUCUGAAUAUGGGGGGACCAUCCUCCAAGGCUAAAUACUCCUGACUGACCGAUAGUGAACCAGUACCGUGAGGGAAAGGCGAAAAGAACCCCGGCGAGGGGAGUGAAACAGAACCUGAAACCGUGUACGUACAAGCAGUGGGAGCCUUCUUUAUGGGGGUGACUGCGUACCUUUUGUAUAAUGGGUCAGCGACUUAUAUUCUGUAGCAAGGUUAACCGUAUAGGGGAGCCGCAGGGAAACCGAGUCUUAACUGGGCGUUAAGUUGCAGGGUAUAGACCCGAAACCCGGUGAUCUAGCCAUGGGCAGGUUGAAGGUUGGGUAACACUAACUGGAGGACCGAACCGACUAAUGUUGAAAAAUUAGCGGAUGACCUGUGGCUGGGGGUGAAAGGCCAAUCAAACCGGGAGAUAGCUGGUUCUCCCCGAAAGCUAUUUAGGUAGCGCCUCGUGAACUCAUCUUCGGGGGUAGAGCACUGUUUCGGCUAGGGGGCCAUCCCGGCUUACCAACCCGAUGCAAACUGCGAAUACCGAAGAAUGUUAUCACGGGAGACACACGGCGGGUGCUAACGUCCGUCGUGAAGAGGGAAACAACCCAGACCGCCAGCUAAGGUCCCAAAGUCAUGGUUAAGUGGGAAACGAUGUGGGAAGGCACAGACAGCCAGGAUGUUGGCUUAGAAGCAGCCAUCAUUUAAAGAAAGCGUAAUAGCUCACUGGUCGAGUCGGCCUGCGCGGAAGAUGUAACGGGGCUAAACCAUGCACCGAAGCUGCGGCAGCGAC
rnacentral:rRNA from 1 species